rnacentral:pre_miRNA from 1 species
AAAAAUCAUUGCACAUGAUACAAGAAAUUCAUUGGUUAAUUUCAUGAUUAUGAAAAUGCCCAGUGAAUUUCUCGGUAGAUGAACAAUUAUUCAUUU